rnacentral:rRNA from 1 species
GACGAACGCUGGCGGCGUGCUUAACACAUGCAAGUCGAACGGAAAGGCCCUGCUUUUGUGGGGUGCUCGAGUGGCGAACGGGUGAGUAACACGUGAGUAACCUGCCCUUGACUUUGGGAUAACUUCAGGAAACUGGGGCUAAUAUCGGAUAGGAGCUCCUGCUGCAUGGUGGGGGUUGGAAAGUUUCUGCGGUUGGGGAUGGACUGGCGGCUUAUCAGCUUGUUGGUGGGGUAGUGGCUUACCAAGGCUUUGACGGGUAGCCGGCCUGAGAGGGUGACCGGCCACAUUGGGACUGAGGUACGGACCAGACGCGUACGGGAGGCAGCAGUGGGGAGUAUGGCACAAUGGGCGGAAGCCUGAUGCAGCAACGCCGCGUGCGUGAUGACGGCCUUCUGGGUGUAAACCGCUUUCGCCUGUGACGAAGCGUUAGUGACGGUAAUGGGUAAAGAAGCACCGGCUAACUACGUG